rnacentral:snoRNA from 1 species
AUCUGAAAUCAUCCACUGGCAGAUUGGUAGUGGUGAACCUCUGGUUUUCUGAAG